GAUGAACGCUGGCGGCGUGCCUAAUACAUGCAAGUCGAGCGAACAGAUGAGGAGCUUGCUCCUCUGACGUUAGCGGCGGACGGGUGAGUAACACGUGGAUAACCUACCUAUAAGACUGGGAUAACUACGGGAAACCGGAGCUAAUACCGGAUAAUAUAUUGAACCGCAUGGUUCAAUAGUGAAAGGCGGUUUUGCUGUCACUUAUAGAUGGAUCCGCGCCGCAUUAGCUAGUUGGUAAGGUAACGGCUUACCAAGGCAACGAUGCGUAGCCGACCUGAGAGGGUGAUCGGCCACACUGGAACUGAGACACGGUCCAGACUCCUACGGGAGGCAGCAGUAGGGAAUCUUCCGCAAUGGGCGAAAGCCUGACGGAGCAACGCCGCGUGAGUGAUGAAGGUCUUCGGAUCGUAAAACUCUGUUAUUAGGGAAGAACAAAUGUGUAAGUAACUAUGCACGUCUUGACGGUACCUAAUCAGAAAGCCACGGCUAACUACGUG
rnacentral:rRNA from 1 species